UACGAAGGUCCCAAGCGUUAUCCGGAUUUAUUGGGUUUAAAGGGUGCGUAGGCGGCUUAUUAAGUCAGUGGUGAAAGCCCGAAGCUUAACUUCGGAAUUGCCAUUGAUACUGAUGAGCUUGAGUAGAUUUGAAGUGGGCGGAAUGUGUUGUGUAGCGGUGAAAUGCUUAGAUAUGACACAGAACACCGAUUGCGUAGGCAGCUCACUAAACUCUCACUGACGCUGAGGCACGAAAGCGUGGGGAUCAAACAGG
rnacentral:rRNA from 1 species